GACAUCUUCAUCUUGGCCACCUUGACCUUGCUUUGCCGUGGGUGGAUCGUUGUUUCUAUUAUUUGUGCUUUUUAAGAAUAUUUUUUUAAUUCGGAUACUUUUAUAAUAGCUUUAAUAGUAUUAUUAACAUAGUGAAUAAAAUGGUGUCCUGUUUUUAACGCAGUUGGAGUAGCAGAAACAAAUGUAGAUAAAAAAAUCUGCAGUAAUAACGUUUCAAUUAUGACAGAAGCUCCAAACAAAUGACUGAAUGAAAAGCCCUAUUAAAAGCUUUCCAGAAGAUCCUGCGAAGAAGACAUGAAGUAUAGAUCAGAUUUGUUAAUAGAGGAGUAUGUUCAAAACACUUUUUAGAAAAAGAUAUUGACAGAACUUCACUUUCAUCUGUUCGUUUAAGAGACUGUGCUGUUCCAAUAGCUUAUGUCACACAGAAUCAGCUGAGAGAAGUGGUCUACAAAAAACCAGAAAGGAAACGGAAUAUGUGGCUACGAAAAGCAAAAGAAAGGUUUACAAAGCAAAUGUGACACAUUUUUUUAUAAUAUUUAGGAAUGUCAGUAAAUUACAUUAAAAAAUGUAUGUAAAGAUUUUUUGCAAUAAAAAUGUUUAUAUUUAUCAAGCAUGUAUUAUUUGGUAUGGCCACAUAUCGUCAGUGAUGUGACAAUACCUCCUAUCUGUUUUUUUCAAGAGAUUUGUAAGAUAGACUAAAAACUUGUUUCGGCCACCUCCUGUUUUCAUAUAUUUUUUGACUUGUUUUGCAGUAAAUUCAACUAUCUAUUUACUACAAAAAAGUCAGAAUACGUACGAAAACAGAAAGUGACCUUAAAAAAUGUUUUUCGUCUCCUGCAAACCUCAUGAAAAAACAUAUAGGAGGUAUUGUCACAUUACUGACGAUAUAUUUCAGUGAAUGUCUAAAAAAUAUUCUGUGAAUGUUCAAAGAACGUUCGUAGACAUUCAUGGAAUGUUCUAACAAGACAUUCAGUCUAAAAAUAUACUGUGAAUGUCCAAAGAACAUUCAUGGAAUGU